GAUGAACGCUAGCGGGAGGCCUAACACAUGCAAGCUGAGCGGUAGAUAUCCUUCGGGAUUUUGAGAGCGGCGUACGGGUGCGUAACACGUGUGCAACCUGCCCUUAUCAAGAGGAUAGCCCGGAGAAAUUCGGAUUAAUACUCUAUAAUAUAUUGACUGGCCUCAGUUGAUAUUGAAAGAUUUAUCGGAUAAGGAUGGGCACGCGCAAGAUUAGGUAGUUGGUAGGGUAACGGCCUACCAAGCCGAUGAUCUUUAGGGGGCCUGAGAGGGUGAUCCCCCACACUGGUACUGAGACACGGACCAG
rnacentral:rRNA from 1 species